rnacentral:rRNA from 1 species
GACGAACGCUGGCGGCGUGCUUAACACAUGCAAGUCGAACGGUAAGGCCCUUCAGGGUACACGAGUGGCGAACGGGUGAGUGACACGUGGGUGAUCUGCCCUGCACUUCGGGAUAAGCCUGGGAAACUGGGUCUAAUACCGGAUAGGACUCCUGGCUUCAUGGCUGGGGGUGGAAAGCUUUUGCGGUGUGGGAGGGGCCCGCGGCCUAUCAGCUUGUUGGUGGGGGAAUGGCCUACCAAGGCGACGACGGGUAGCCGGCCUGAGAGGGUGACCGGUCACACUGGGACUGAGAUACGGCCCAGACUCCUACGGGAGGCAGCAGUGGGGAAUAUUGCACAAUGGGCGCAAGCCUGAUGCAGCGACGCCGCGUGAGGGAUGACGGCCUUCGGGUUGUAAACCUCUUUCAGCUAUGACGAAGCGCAAGUGACGGUAGUAGCAGAAGAAGGACCGGCCAACUACGUGCCAGCAGCCGCAGUAA